ensembl:antisense 5430402O13Rik RIKEN cDNA 5430402O13 gene
AGGAUGUGCCCAGAGGGCGCCCUUCCUUCAGAGGCCUCGUUUGCCCGACACUUACGACAGGCCUUAGGACGUAAGGCGUGGACGUGCGUGACGUCACCCUCUGGCCUGCGAGAUGGCGAGGGCAAGUAGCGGGGCUGUUGCUCCCUUGGGAUCCGGGUGUGGCUCGGCUCAGGUAACGCCUGGCCCUGAGGACUCCUUCGGCCUCCGCCCACGGGGAGUGCUGAGACCGCCGGCCGGUGUGCUGGCGACCUUUACCCAGGCUUGGUCAAGGCUUCCUGGCUGGCGCAACUGCACUGGCCUCGCAGUGGACGCCUGCUGGUGACCUUUACUCUGUUAAACCAUCUUCCUGCUCUCCCAGUGAGAGCCUCAAAGCUGGGGAAGUGAAUGGAUGAACUGGGAGAUGUCUGACUCGACUUAGAAUUUCUGAAGCAUGCACACUAUGGCUAAGUUUCAGACUGAAAAGCCAGAAAAAACAGGUAGAAGUUACAAGAAAGAAAAAGUCUUUUUAGAAACACCACAAAGAAAAUGAUCAACAAUCAAGAACAGACAAAAGCAGAAUGGAUUGGCUGUAUGGAAGGUUUUUGUUUUAUGAGUGUGUGUAUAUGCAUGACUGUAUGUAUGGUACACGUGUGUGCAGUUGCCCUAGGAGGCCAGGAGAGGGCACUGCAUCUUCAGGAACUGGAAUUACUGGUGGUUGCAAGCUGCCUAAUGUAGGAUAUGGGAGCCAGACUCACAUCUUGAGAACCAAACUUGUGUCCGUAGGAAGAACAGCAAGUGCUCUUAACAGAUGAAGUAUCUUUCCAGCCCUACUUUGGAAGUGUUUAAACUGAGAUAAGGUGGCUUUCUGUCUUAAUUCCCUAAGAAUAAAGAAAAAAGUUUGUUGUAUGUGUUUCUACGCAGAUUGUGAAGCCAGAAGUUGACAUUAAACAUCUUCCUUGACC